AUUGAACGCUGGCGGAAUGCUUUACACAUGCAAGUCGAACGGCAGCACGGGGGCAGUCCUGGUGGCGAGUGGCGAACGGGUGAGUAAUACAUCGGAACGUGCCCGGUCGUGGGGGAUAACGUAGCGACAGUUACGCUAAUACCGCAUACGAUCUGAGGAUGAAAGCGGGGGACCUUCGGGCCUCGCGCGAUCGGAGCGGCCGAUGUCAGAUUAGGUAGUUGGUGGGGUAAAGGCCUACCAAGCCGACGAUCUGUAGCUGGUCUGAGAGGACGACCAGCCACACUGGGACUGAGACACGGCCCAGACUCCUACGGGAGGCAGCAGUGGGGAAUUUUGGACAAUGGGCGCAAGCCUGAUCCAGCCAUGCCGCGUGCAGGACGAAGGCCUUCGGGUUGUAAACUGCUUUUGUACGGAACGAAAAGGCUCUGGCUAAUACCUGGGGCUCAUGACGGUACCGUAAGAAUAAGCACCGGCUAACUACGUG
rnacentral:rRNA from 1 species